UCCCGUUGAUCCUGCGGGAGAUUGCUGCUAUUGGAAUUCGAUUUAGCCAUGCAAGUUUAGGGGCUCUUCGGAACACCGGCGAAAGGCUCAGUAACACGUCGAUAAUCUUACUUAUGGUCCGGAAUAACCUCGGGAAACUGAGGCUAAUACCAGAUAGGGGAUUGCCACUGGAAUGUGCUUUCCCUUAAAGGCAACGCCAUAAGGUGAGUCGGCGGCUGAUUAGGUAGUUGGUGAGGUAAUGGCUCACCAAGCCAAAGAUCAGUAGGGGGGAUGAGAGUCCUAGCCUCGAGAAGGACACUGAGAAAAGGGUCCUAGCCCCAAGGGGUGCAGCAGGCGCGAAACCUUUACAAUGCACGAAAGUGUGAUAAGGGGAUUCCAAGUGCUUACCUUCUGUGUGAGCUUUUGUUAAGCUUAAAAACCUUAACGAAUAAGUGGUGGGCAAGACCGGUGCCAGCAGCCGCGGUAACACCGGCGCCACGAGUGGCGAUCAUAGUUAUUGGGUCUAAAGCGUCUGUAGCCGACUAAGAAAGUCCCUUGUGAAAUUGUUAGGCUUAACCUAACAACGUGCAAAGGAUACUUCUUGAUUAGGGACCGGGAGGAGGCAAAGGUAUUCCUUGGGAAGCGGUAAAAUGUUUUAAUCCUUGGAAGACCACCUAUGGCGAAGGCAUUUGUCUAGAACGGGUCCGACGGUGAGAGACGGAAGCUAGGGGAGCGAAACGGAUUAGAUACCCGUGUAGUCCUAGCUGUAAACGCUGCAGACUAGGUGUGACAUGUUUUCCGAGAACAUGUCGUGCCGGAGCGAAGGUGUUAAGUCUGCCACCUGGGAAGUACGGCCGCAAGACUGAAACUUAAAGGAAUUGGCGGGGACACACACAAGCGGUGGAGUGUGCGGUUCAAUCUAACUCUACGCAGAGAAUCUCACCAGGAGCGACGGCAGAAUGAAGGUCAGAUUGAAGGUCUUACCUAACUAGCCGAGAGAUGGUGCAUGGCCGCCGUCAGUUCGUGCCGUGAGGUGUUCGGUUAAGUCCGUUAACGAACAAGACCCAUACCGAUAGUUGCUAAUGAUUAAACUUUUAAUCAUGCACACUAUUGGGAUUGCCUUGGUAACAAGGAGGAAGGGGUGGGCAACGGUGGGUCUGUAUGCCUCGAAUCUCUUGGGCUACACGCGCACUACAAUGGUAGGGACAAUGGGCUACAACUCUGAAAAGAGAAGUCAAUCCUCGAAACCCUAUCCAAGUCCGGAUCGUGGCCUGUAACUCACCCUCGUGAAGCUGGAAUCGCUAGUAAUCGUGGGUCAUCAUCCCACGGUGAAUAAGUCCCUGUGUCUUGCACACACUGCCCGUCAUCCCAGCCGAGCAGGGUCUAUGUGAGGGCUAUUCUUUAGGGUACUCCGAACAUAGGCUCAGUGAGGAGGGG
rnacentral:rRNA from 1 species